UCAGGUCUCAAUUUUUGGUGCAACUGUAAGCAUCCAUUCUUGUUUGUGUGCUUUAGGGAAUCCACUUGGAGUAUGCCAAGCCCCUCUCACCAGCUGGCCGAUGGACUGGGUUUCCUGCGCUUGUGAGUCCUCUGGAAGUAUUUCAGGCCUCUUGAGAUGAAGCCUUGAAAUUUUGUAUUUCAAGAUGGCAUCCGGGCAGCCUUUUGCAAUGGCCCAUGUGUUGUGGCAGACCCUGCGAUGAUGGUGGCAGCCUCUGAGCAUUGCCAAAGUGUGGGGCCUGAGCAACCAGGCAUUCUUAGGAGAAUGGACCACAGCCUGGUGACCACAGGACAUUCCCAGCAGAUGAGGCAGCCUCCAUUAGCACGCAACAUGGAUUCUCAUCCCCAGAUGCCCGAGAGAUAAGUCAAGGGCUAAAGCCCGCAGAGGGGAUGAAAGCGACGUGCUGGGAGGGCAUUUUGAAUCAGCUCUGGGGGCAGGGAUGUGCAAGAAGUGUCCCUUUAGGCCACCUAAAGGGAAAAUGUUUCUUUUGAUCACAGUGCUGAGGUGCGCAGGGCAGAGCAGUUCUGGUGUGUGUCCUGUCACUUGUUUCUGGUGCACUCUGUGUUCUUUGGGUCUCUGAGUCCUUUCUUCUUGUCGAAAGCUCUCGCUCCCUGUCCUGUCCCCUCCUUUGUCACGGGUGUCUGCACAUAUUUGUCCCGGAGCUGCUCUGCCCUGCUGCAUAGCCUGUAAUAGCACAAGUCCUGGGGACUUGAAAUUGGUAAUGCAGGGUGUAUUUGGGCUCUAGAUUGUAUUUGUUGAUUGCCAUAACAUUUUUGGUGCUGUUAAGUUGUCCUGCAGCUGUUUCACACUAGUCCUAACUUCCUUUCAGAUGCAGACAGUUCAAAUCAGUGGCAGAGAGCCCCAGUCCUGGCUGAGGGUGUUGCCAUGAGCAGGAUGUCCAGGCAGAUAGCAGCAGUGAAGGCCCAGUGUGCCAGGUGAGCAGUGGACAGAAGCAGUUCUUCUUGCUCAGGUCUCAAUGUUUGGUGCAACUCUAAGCAUCCAUUCUUGUUUUUGUGCUUUAGG